CCUACGGUGGGCUGCAGUGGGGAAUAUUGGAAAAUGGGCGAAAGCCUGAUCCAGCCAUGCCGCGUGUGUGAAGAAGGCCUUCGGGUUGUAAAGCACUUUCAGUGGGGAAGAAAGCCUUGGGGCUAAUACCCUCGAGGAAGGACAUCACCCACAGAAGAAGCACCGGCUAACUCCGUGCCAGCAGCCGCGGUAAUACGGAGGGUGCGAGCGUUAAUCGGAAUUACUGGGCGUAAAGCGCGCGUAGGCGGUCUGAUAAGCCGGUUGUGAAAGCCCCGGGCUCAACCUGGGAACGGCAUCCGGAACUGUCAGGCUAGAGUGCAGGAGAGGAAGGUAGAAUUCCCGGUGUAGCGGUGAAAUGCGUAGAGAUCGGGAGGAAUACCAGUGGCGAAGGCGGCCUUCUGGACUGACACUGACGCUGAGGUGCGAAAGCGUGGGUAGCAAACAGGAUUAGAUACCCCAGUAGUC
rnacentral:rRNA from 1 species